rnacentral:rRNA from 1 species
UACGUAGGUGGCAAGCGUUGUCCGGAAUUAUUGGGUUUAAAGGGUGCGUAGGCGGCUUUGUAAGUCAGUGGUGAAAUAUGGCAGCUCAACUGUCAGGGUGCCAUUGAUACUGCGGAGCUUGAGUACAGAUGAGGUAGGCGGAAUUGACGGUGUAGCGGUGAAAUGCUUAGAUAUCGUCAAGAACACCGAUAGCGAAGGCAGCUUACUGGGCUGUAACUGACGCUGAGGCACGAAAGUGUGGGGAUCAAACAGG